GAAUAAGAAAUAAGAAAUAUCCGUUUUCAGGGUUUUAAAAAAAUUUAGAAUUGUUCCACAUUUUUAUAAAUGAAGGUGGACAAAAAAAAAUAAGACAUGUCUCUCAAUAUAAUACGGUACAACUCAACAGCACCACAAAGAGCAGCCUCCAAAAUCACCAUUAAGUUGACUCAAUACCUCGAAAACAUGAUUUCAACUGAAACGAACACUGUAACCUUCAUAAAGAUUUAUUGCAGAGGUGUUAUUUACCUGCAUUAGUGUCAAUUAAAAAAAAAAACAAAACUAUAUUAUCACAAAUAAUUAUGUGUAAGAGUCUGGCUACCCCUACUGAUUCACAUGUAACCAAAAUCCCUUACAAAUUCUCGGCAGGACUGUCUUUGACCAUUUUACCCAACUUUGACCAGUGUGUAGGAUGGCAUCUAGGUAAGAACGCAGAUUGCAACCAACUGAUUGCCUUGCCCUUUAUUUCCAAGAGGGUUGAAAGUCUACGCUUGGAAAGUCAGGUGUCAACCCGUCACCCUAUAACAGUCGCCGUAUCGUUAGAUAUUGUAUUUAGUCUGCAAAACUACAGGUGAAUGUUGACAUGUAACAAACUAUAACGAUAUGAGGCGUCAGCGUAAAAACACGAAAGGCUCUAUAUAUAGAGCCACUCGGAUUGUCUGUUCUGGGCUACUGUAGAAACAUGACGGCGCUACACGACUCUGUGGAAGAGGACCCCCUUCCUAUGCAAUUUUAAAUGGCUCGUUCGAAUGAAAGCUGAUUCAUUGUAGGUGCACUCACCAUGUUGACGAGAGGGUAAGUGGCUCCGACAAAUUUGAGCACCUCUCAACAACGAUCGAAAUGAUUGGUUCAACUCCCUGCUGAUGCACAGAGGUCAAAGAACAAUACAGUAUAUUUAACCACUGAGCCAUCUCCACAAGAAAUGAGCAUCAUGAGUAUUGAUAAUUGCAUCUGCAGUGGAAGACCAUGAGCUGCAAAAAGCCAAUGUUGUAACAGGUGCCCAUUCAGAGGCUGGAGUAGCUGGUGUUCAGGCACAGCAAAUUACCUUGGUGUAUUGGGGAUCAUUUGGAGAACUGGCUGUGAUUUUCCAAUUAUUGGCUUCUGUGACACAGCUCUCUUGGCUGCAUGUGGCUGGAAUGAUUCCCAAUGACAGUGGGAAAUUAGAAAGUGGUCAGUCUACACACUUCUAACCUCUUUAAGUGCCAUUCACAUGGUAUAAUGUCUGUCACGUCAGGAAGAAAGUGUCUAUGACUGAUGAAAGAACGGACAGACCUGUGAUAUCAGAGCCUCUGAAAAACAGCACAAAAGGAUUGCUCCAGUGUGUGAAGUCAACAGGAUUGCACCAGCUGAACUCCUUUACAGAAUAACAGUGUCUUGGGACAUCAUCAGUACAGCAGCCACAAGGGAGAGAUGGCAGGAGCACAGAAAGACCAUCUAUUCACCUCCAUCACAAACUAUACACAGUCUGGAAACAGAAAUUCUGAUCUGCUGCAUUUCUACAUUCACCUCCAUCGCAGAAGCUUGUUAGGGUCUGGUAUGUUUGUUUGUGAGUUAGUUAGCAUGAUAUCUCUCUAAGAGAAGCAACAAAGCUGCUGACCCAGGGUCCCCUACUUUGUCAUGGCUCCAUCCUGAGGGUCCUACUCGUUGACCACUGCUGAGAGAGUCUCUAUGUCAUCACUGCCACACCAACCCCCAUACACCAAGACCAUAUGUCUGCUCCAGUCUCAGCAUCACCAGUAAAUGGAGCUUUACGUCUUUCUAUAUGUCCUCUGCACUGCCUUGAAGGUACUGACCUGGCGCUUACAAGCUCUCUAUACGCCAAGUGUGUAUCAGCACACUUGCCUUCCUUAGACUGUCAGCUGAGGCUUCACCAUAAUAAAUUUGUGUUGGUUUAUAUUUAUAAUAUACUCCCCCAAUGCCAUACAUGCAUUUGCCACUAGUUGAGAAUAGUGAAGGACGACCUUACAGUGCAGCAUGUAUUUCAAUUUUGCAGACCUGUGUGAUAUGGUGUUUAUACUUUUUGCACCACUGAUGAUUUAAUACAUCUCACAGAGGAUGAUAGAUGUAUGGUCUAAAUCUAUCAAGCCAUGUCAUGCAUCACUUGCAUGUAAUUUAUAAUUUGUCAUCUGUAUGUUUUUGAGUGCUUCUGAAGAAACAACAAAAUAAAUCUCUAUGCUCACACACUCUGUCAUGUAAAGUAAUAUCUUUAAUAGCACAGAUUUGUUUGGUAGUUGUUUUUAAUGCAGUCACCUUUAUUUACUCAACGUUGGCUGAAAAUGCAAUCAUUUACAAUGUAGUCAUUUAACAUGAGUCUGUUGAAGUACUGAUUGAAAUUUCACAUCUUACCAGUGACUGUUGUAUUAUUAUUUGAGUGGCAGCUGCAUCUUGUUAGAGUCACUUAUUAAAUCUGCAAGCCCACUCACAAGUCCACUAACACGAUCAUUUCCAUAAUAAGAAUCUUUGAAGGAUGUGAUGCCUAUUAUCGCUAGACCUGAACAUGGAAGUAAAGGUCAGGAGCUGGAGACAUUAAUUCAGUUAUAAAGAACUGAAAAAGGAAAGAACAGUCCUUUGAGCAGUGAUUUGUUGUCUCUGCAUGUGAUGCUUUGACCGGGGAGACACAGGCCACAGCUGGAUAUUUAUCAACCAGCGCUCAGAUUCCAUUCCAGUGUCCUAGCUAUUCAAUCAUGAGUCUCAGAGUGUCAGGUUCCCUCUGUCAAAUCUGUCUAAUCUGCCUGUAAUCAGAGUCUGCAUUCAAAGGCUAAUAUAACAUGACAGUCUUCAAACCCAUGCAGUAUGCCCCCCACCCUCCACAUCAGUAUACUGCUCACAGCUAUCUAUGACAUCUCCAUAAAGAAAUGUAUUGAUUAUGUCUUUGUGGACUGCAUAAUACAUGGACAGAGAUUUUCUAUAGGUCUGGAUUUGUGAAGUUAUUCCCCUAUGAAUUUUCUUUCAAGGACCAAAAGUUAUGUAUUUCUGUUUUUUAAAUGUAUGUGUGGAGCAUGUUAUAUCAAUCUCAAAAUCCAUAAGCUGGUCUUUUCUCUUUUUCUAUGUAUAUGAAUUGACUAUUUUUUAUUGAUUGCAGUUUAAACCAUUUUUAUUCUGUUGAUAUUGUUUUCCAUUCAGUGACCAUUAAA